GUGGCGGACGGGUGAGUAACGCGUGAGAAUCUGCCCUCAGGAGGGGGAUAACGGUUGGAAACGACCGCUAAUACCCCAUAUGCCGAGAGGUGAAAUGAAAUUCGCCUGAGGAUGAGCUCGCGUCUGAUUAGCUAGUUGGUAGGGUAAAGGCCUACCAAGGCAUUGAUCAGUAGCUGGUCUGAGAGGAUGAUCAGCCACACUGGGACUGAGACACGGCCCAGACUCCUACGGGAGGCAGCAGUGGGGAAUUUUCCGCAAUGGGCGCAAGCCUGACGGAGCAACGCCGCGUGAGGGAUGAAGGCCUCUGGGCUGUAAACCUCUUUUAUCAAGGAAGAAGAACUGACGGUACUUGAUGAAUAAGCCACGGCUAAUUCCGUGCCAGCAGCCGCGGUAAUACGGGAGUGGCAAGCGUUAUCCGGAAUUAUUGGGCGUAAAGCGUCCGCAGGCGGUUUUACAAGUCUGUCGUUAAAGCGUGGAGCUCAACUCCAUUUCAGCGAUGGAAACUGUAAGACUCGAGUGUGGUAGGGGCAGAGGGAAUUCCCGGUGCAGCGGUGAAAUGCGUAGAUAUCGGGAAGAACACCAGUGGCGAAAGCGCUCUGCUGGGCCAUAACUGACGCUCAUGGACAGAAGCCAGGGGAGCGAAAGGGAUUAGAUACCCCUGUAGUCCUGGCCGUAAACGAUGAACACUAGGUGUCGGGGGAAUCGA
rnacentral:rRNA from 1 species